rnacentral:tRNA from 1 species
ACCGUGUAGCUCAGUUGGUAGAGCGUCGAUCUAGUAAUUCGAAGGUCGCGGGUUCAAGACCCGCAGCCGCGGCA